AGACUGCCGGUGACAAACCGGAGGAAGGUGGGGAUGACGUCAAGUCCUCAUGGCCCUUAUAGGUGGGGCUNNACANGUCAUACAAUGGCUGGUACAAAGGGUUGCCAACCCGCGAGGGGGAGCUAAUCCCAUAAAACCAGUCGUAGUCCGGAUCGCAGUCUGCAACUCGACUGCGUGAAGUCNGAAUCGCUAGUAAUCGUGGAUCAGAAUGUCACGGUGAAUACGUUCCCGGGUCUU
rnacentral:rRNA from 1 species